GCACACUGGAACACACGCGCGCGCACACACACACUCAAGCACACACGCACACUCCCACUCAUGUUCUCUAUAGGUGUGUGGGUCCAAAGUUGUGUCCUCAGGGAGGCUGAGCUGAAAAGAACCGGGCUUCCUUGGCGCCUGGGGCGCUCAGCGCGGCUCUCCUGGAGACUCCCCAGAUGGACAGAAGGGAAAGAGGAAUACCACCCUCCGCUUAGGGUGGUCUCCCCCGUUUCUGAGAAGAUCAGUGCGAAACGCGGACUGCCGGACGCCUUUGGAAUAUGCCUGCUGAGCGGAGCAGAAAAGAGUGUUCUUGGAGUGGUCGUGAACUUGGGCCACCUGGGCUCCCCGGCAACUUGUUUUGCGCAGUUCUCAAUGGAGCCCUGGACCCACCGGGCUCCUGGCCCGUCUGCAUUUUCCCCUCCUUUUCUUCUUCUCUCUUUUUAAAAUGUAUGAACUUGAAGCCGAACGCAGACAGGCGCUUGGGAUACUUUGGCGGGUCAUUUUCACUUCCCGUCAACAAUGAAAAUAGAGGGAUGCUGGAACUCCACAGAUAACUACAAAAAAUACGGUUUUGAGACAUCUGACUUCCGCAGCCUUCAUUUUGGUCAAAAUACUUUUCACCAGUUUUCUUGAGGACUGAUCAUCACACUCGUGUGUCAUCACACUUUUGAUAUUCAGCUCUUUCGUGUGAGGACCUACCCUAUUCUCACUCUUGCUCCCUCUGGUCUGACCAUCAGCCCCCGUGUGUGCCGGAGGCACAGGCUCAGCACACUUCUCUCACAUGACCCCGCAGGCUCCCGCAAAUCUUCCAGCUCGUGAAAGAGUUGCAAUUUCAGUUUGCACUCAUCUUUUUCCUUUUCUUUUUAAUGAUGUUUAUUUUGUCCAUUACAGCCGAUUUACAGUGUUCUGUCAAUUUUCUACUGCAUAUCCAGGUGACCCAGUCACACAGACGUGUGUAUGCAUUCUUUUUUCUCACAUUAUCAGGCUCCAUCACAAGCGACCAGACACAGUUCCCAGUGGUAUACAGCAGGAUCCCAUUGCUUACCCAUUCCAAAGGCAAUAGUUUGCAUCUAAUAACCCCAAAUUCCCAGGCCCUCCCACUCGGUUUGCACACAAUUGGCAUUGAGUUUUGCCUUAAUGUGCCCAUUGGUAAAAGUAGCAGACUGAUGAGCAAAGAUACUGCUGAGACGCUCUGCUAUUAAGUGGAGAAGCUUUGAGUGGGAACUCAGUUCCUUCGGGAAAAUGUGUCACAAGGACUUCUGUUCUCCUUCUGUCGUGUAACUAGGGCAUCGGAUACUGAAUCCUCAGAGCAUUUCCGCUGAGAUGAAUUUGAACGCAGUAAAUGUCAGCAUUGUGAUGUCAGCAGUAAAGUGAGUUAAUAGUAUUCUAGCAGAGGUGAGUUUAGCCCGACCUCUUUUCCUGGAUCAGAGGGGCAGUGACCACUACGGAGCCGUCAGGAGUCUUUUCUUCCAAGGGCAGACUGAGGUGGGAUGGGUCAGAGGGGGACAGAGGACCUGCAUUUGAGCCUAAGAGUAGGAGUUCUGCUUUUCUUUCCAUUGAAUGAUUUCUCUAUGACAGCUUUCUGUUCUGGGUCUUUCGCUGUCUGUGUAAACAUAUUUUGGACCAGUACUUAGCAAAUACUCCCAUGUCCGAGUCAGCAGGAGAUUGUUAGGGCAGGUCUGAGUCCUCACGCCUGAGAUCUGCUUUCUAACCAUCUUCCUCCGGUGCUGCGGAUGCUGGUCUGAACUUCACACCUGUAGCAGCGAUGCUGUGACCCACCUUUCUGCUGCUCGUGGGCUUCACCGUCCAACCAACAUGUGGCCAGGCCCAUGGUCCUGAGACAUGAGCCUGCCUUUGAAUCUCCGGAAGGGCUCAGAAAACAAUGAUUGCUGCUCCCCGCCCCAAGUUUCUAGCUAUCAUCCCCUUUUUCUUUCACAAUACUUCAAGCAAGGUGUUACUAUCGCCAUUCUACAGAUGACAAAACUUAAAGCUGGGAGAGGUUCAUUGUCCUGCACGAGGUCCCCCAGUUCACAAGCUGCCCGAGGCCAGGGGGAAGGUGGGGUUCACCGCUUCCUGUUUCAGGGGAGGAGGCGCAGCUGCAAGCCUUCCCGGGAGGCAGAUGCGUCCCAGCAGAGAUUAUGGGUGAGGCUUACCCAUCUCUGCCCGAUUCCUCUCACCCUGAUGAGGAGGAGCAGGGCAAGGGGAGGUGGCUCCUGGCUCACUCGAAGGAGAGGCACAGGCGGGGCCGACCCCUCGGGCCCUGGUUCUCAAAGUGCACCAGUAGCAUCAGCGCCACUUGGGAAGACGGUGACAUCCAUUCCUGAGUCCCACCCCAAACCCUCCCGCUGGCGAGUUUCAGUGACCCUUGUGACGUCACUAAUGCACACGGAUAUCUACAUCUUAGCAUAUACACACAUGUAUUCCUGUACACAUCAGUGCACACCCGUGCAACAUCUAUAGCCACACACACUAGUGUGUAUCUGUACGCAUUAGUGUACAUGCACAAUGGGUAUACACACAACUGGCACUUCGAAGUAAGCGGGAGCAGGGGUGGGCAGGCUCUGCGUAUCGCGGGCCGUUACCUCUGCUUUGACUGCUCCUAAAAUUCAACAUGCUUCUGAACUGUCCAUUGAAAACCACAGGGUUUUAGGAGAAUGCGGUUGGGGCCACGACACUCAAACAUUUUAUGUGACACAUCAUAGGAGGAUAGUAACUCAAAAACAGCAGCCCUAUUUGUCCAUGUUAACUGGUUCAGAAAUACGUGGACACUACAAUAGUGCAUUGCUUCCGAAAGGUCACCUUGAAAACACCUGAAGGGGGCUUGUGCAGGUGAGUGCCCACAAUCCUGGGAGGUCCACCAUACCCACCACCCCAUCUGCAAGGGGUGAUGGGGAGCGGGGGAGAGAGAGACUCCAGGAACAAAAGAACAGAAAACAAAGGAGAAAAUACAAAAUUGGGGCGAGUAAAGGGGAAACUGAGGAGAGGGAGGCCCCAGAGCUCCUGGGAAAGGGGGGCAGCCAAUGUGCCAGAGCAGGGCUGGCAGAAGGGUCUCCUGAAACCAGAAGGAACGUUUACCCCCAGAUUCAGCAGGUGUGGCUCAACACCCUGGUGAAGGAGUGUGUGUGCCAUUUGCGUGUUCCUGCUUCAGUUACCUGGGUUCUCAGGGGUGAAAUGUGGGUGAACAAACCGAAAUUCAUGUCAUGCUCAAGUUGUACCCUAAUGUGUCCAUCACACUGGAAUAAAUCCUUGUUUUCAAAACAGAUGUCAGAGCAGAACUGGCUGCAUUUACACCAUGGAAAUGGGCACUUCCUUCAAGUCAGGGCUUUUCCCUCCUGGAGCAUCUGUUAAAUACUCACUAGCACACUGCUGACUGUAAAACACCCAGUGGAGUGGUUGGUGUACUAAGUGCCUAAUGCAUGGGCAGAAGUGAUGCACUUUUCCCGGGUGAAAGUCAAGUGGGAUUCAUGGAAUGAACUGAAACUAGAGGGAGACAAGGCAAAGCAGGUGCCCCAGGGCUGGAGCAGGGCUGCCAGUCCAGGGGAGCGGGUGUGGGGAGCCCCUCCGCAGACAGAGAGGGAAUAAUAACUUUGGAACACGUCUACCUCCACUCUCCCCGGCAGGUGCAAAGAGACACCAAAGAUAAAGUGUCACAAAUUCUUCACAUCUUUUGUAAUUAUUUUCAAGGUGGAAACAAAACAGGGAAUGAUAAUAAGCUCCAGGGAGACUUUAAUUAUUUUGUGAAGGUAUUUUUUUUUAAUCAUAAAUUGGCAUUUUAAACUCUCCUGCCAACUCCCAGUGCAUAUAUAGUUUACUACAAUGUGCUCGUUGGCAAGCCCGAAUGAGCUAUUUAAUAAAUGAGGCAGUGGCAGACAUGUACUGAACAAAGUUUUUAUGAGGAAAACCAAAACGUGCAUGUUUUUAAGAUGCUUGCCAUCAAGCACGAGGAGUAAGAUCUAACUUGUCAAUCUCCAUGCAAGCAGCAUAUGGUGAGAUGAAAGCCACAGGGAUGCAGAAAACAGCAGAGACCACAUGAGGCAGAAGAGACCCCUCUGCCUGGAGUCUCUGAGAAGGAAGGCAUCGCGUGGGAUGUGGUGCUGGAGUCCAGCCUUGAGGAAGAGCGGAAAUGACAGAUGUAAGGGGUCUGGCUCCCACGUGGAGGAACGGCGGGGCGUGGAGCUGUUUUUAGGGACUGGAUUAAGAUUGGCUUGGACGGAUGGUUUGUGAAGGGGGUACCCCUGUGCCUCUUACAAGACAGUACUUUCCUCGCUGCGGACGUGGGGAGAUUUCUGUGGGUUUCAGGCAGCCUUGUGUCCAUUUCCUCACUACAGGUUUACUGUUAAUUUGCUGAUCUUCAUUCUAAGUGAGCGUCUUCUCAUGUCGUCCUUGCAACAACCCUAUGACGUCGGCAAUAUUGCUGGCCUUCAUGUGAGGGAAAACUGAGGCAGGGAGAAUGUAAGUAACGUGCCUGGAAUCACAGUUUCAGAUUUGAGUGCAAAUCCCGGUCUGGCGCCUAAUCUUUUCGCUCCACUGCCUCCCCUGCUUUGAGUUCCACCGAGAAGCACCGGAGCAUGUCUGCAGGCUGUCUUCAGGUUGAGGGUGGAUGAUGUUUCUUGAGAAGACGCUACGAAGACGAAACAAUUUACAUUCUGUUUUUAAUUGAAAAAAGGUGGCCAUUAUUGCAUUACAAUUUGGAGGAAAUUGCCUUUAUUCCUACAUUUCAUUAAUGACAAAGGUUCCUGGAUUGUUCAUACCAUUAAUUCGUUCCAAUGAUCUCAUCUCACAAUUCCCACUGUGGCUCAGGAGGUUAAGCUCUGUGAGGAUGCGGGUUCCAUCCCUGGCCUCGCUCAGUGGGUUAAGAAUCCUUCAUGGCCAUAAGCUGUGGUGUAGGUGGCAGAUGCGGCUCAGAUCCAGCGUGUGGUGGCUGUGGCAUAAGCUGGCAGCUGAAAUUCCAAUUCAACCCCUAGCCUGGGAAUCCAUAUGCUGCAGCAGGUGCAGU
rnacentral:lncRNA from 1 species